rnacentral:sRNA from 1 species
CGCGCGCGGCAGCCCCGCGGCAGCAGAGCGCCGAGCCGGGAGCGCGGGGAGCGCGGUCCGGCGGCGGCGAGGGAGGACUAGGGCGCAGACGGCCGGCGCGCGGCGCGGCUACCAUGGGCGUGCAGUGAGCAGCCGCUCAGGACGACUUCCUCGGCUGCGCGGCGCUCGAGCGGAGCUCACUGGCUGGCGGUGCGUCCCCACGGUCACCAUGAAAGACGACUUCGCAGAGGAGGAGGAGGUGCAGUCCUUCGGUUACAAGCGGUUUGGUAUUCAGGAAGGAACACAAUGUACCAAAUGUAAAAAUAACUGGGCACUGAAGUUUUCUAUCAUAUUAUUAUACAUUUUGUGUGCCUUGCUAACAAUCACAGUAGCCAUUUUGGGAUAUAAAGUUGUAGAGAAGAUGGACAAUGUCACAGGUGGCAUGGAGACAUCUCGCCAAACCUAUGAUGACAAGCUCACAGCAGUGGAAAGUGACCUGAAAAAAUUAGGUGACCAAACUGGGAAGAAAGCUAUCAGCACCAACUCAGAACUCUCCACCUUCAGAUCAGACAUUCUAGAUCUCCGUCAGCAACUUCGUGAGAUUACAGAAAAAACCAGCAAGAACAAGGAUACGCUGGAGAAGUUACAGGCGAGCGGGGAUGCACUGGUGGACAGGCAGAGUCAAUUGAAAGAAACUUUGGAGAAUAACUCUUUCCUCAUCACCACUGUAAACAAAACCCUCCAGGCGUAUAAUGGCUAUGUCACGAAUCUGCAGCAAGAUACCAGCGUGCUCCAGGGCAAUCUGCAGAACCAAAUGUAUUCUCAUAACGUGGUCAUCAUGAACCUCAACAACCUGAACCUGACCCAGGUACAGCAGAGGAACCUCAUCACGAAUCUGCAGCGGUCUGUGGAUGACACAAGCCAGGCUAUCCAGCGAAUCAAGAACGACUUUCAAAAUCUGCAGCAGGUUUUUCUUCAAGCCAAGAAGGACACGGAUUGGCUGAAGGAGAAAGUGCAGAGCUUGCAGACGCUGGCUGCCAACAACUCUGCGUUGGCCAAAGCCAACAACGACACCCUGGAGGAUAUGAACAGCCAGCUCAACUCAUUCACAGGUCAGAUGGAGAACAUCUCCACUAUCUCUCAAGCCAACGAACAGAACCUGAAAGACCUGCAGGACUUACACAAAGAUGCAGAGAAUAGAACAGCUAUCAAGUUCAACCAACUGGAGGAACGCUUCCAGCUCUUUGAGACGGAUAUUGUGAACAUCAUUAGCAAUAUCAGUUACACAGCCCACCACCUGCGGACGCUGACCAGCAAUCUAAAUGAAGUCAGGACCACUUGCACAGAUACCCUUACCAAACACACAGAUGAUCUGACCUCCUUGAAUAAUACCCUUGCCAACAUCCGUUUGGAUUCUGUUUCUCUCAGGAUGCAACAAGAUUUGAUGAGGUCGAGGUUAGACACUGAAGUAGCCAACUUAUCAGUGAUUAUGGAAGAAAUGAAGCUAGUAGACUCCAAGCAUGGUCAGCUCAUCAAGAAUUUUACAAUACUACAAGGUCCACCGGGCCCCAGGGGUCCAAAAGGUGACAGAGGAUCCCAGGGACCCCCUGGUCCAACUGGCAACAAGGGACAGAAAGGAGAGAAGGGGGAGCCUGGACCGCCUGGCCCUGCGGGUGAGAGAGGCCCAAUUGGACCAGCUGGUCCCCCCGGAGAGCGUGGUGGCAAAGGAUCUAAAGGCUCCCAGGGCCCCAAAGGCUCCCGUGGUUCCCCUGGGAAGCCCGGCCCUCAGGGCCCCAGUGGGGACCCAGGCCCCCCGGGCCCACCAGGCAAAGAAGGACUCCCCGGCCCCCAGGGCCCUCCUGGCUUCCAGGGACUGCAGGGCACCGUGGGGGAGCCUGGGGUGCCUGGACCUCGGGGACUGCCAGGCUUGCCUGGGGUACCAGGCAUGCCAGGCCCCAAGGGCCCCCCCGGCCCUCCUGGCCCAUCAGGAGCGGUGGUGCCCCUGGCCCUGCAGAAUGAGCCAACCCCGGCACCGGAGGACAAUGGUAAGUCCAAGCCCUCCCCCAGCCAGGGGGACAGGGCAGUGCAUGUGCUUGAGACUGAGCCAACCCCCAGUGUGUGGCCCCACCGAUGUUAUUUGUUUUUGUUUUUGUUUUUGUUUUUGUUUUGAGACAGGGUCUCACUCUGUUGCCCAGGCUGGAGUGGAGUGGCGUGAUCUCGGCUCAGUGCAACCUCCACAUCCUGGGUUCAAGUGAUUCUCCUGCCUUAGCCUCCCAGGUAGCUGGGACUACAAGCGUGUGCCACUACAGCAAGCUAAUUUUUGUAUUUUUAGUAGAGAGGGUGUUUCACCAUGUUGGCCAGGCUGGUCUCAAACUCCUGGCCUCAAGUGAUCCACCUACCUUAGUCUCCCAAAGUGCUGGGAUUACAGGUGUGAGCCACCACGUCUUGUCCCCUGCUACCUAUCAUUUAACAGCAAAGGCAUCAUAGGGGCUGGCACAGGAGCCCUGCUGCCAAAACAGGCCUCCAUACCAGGCAUGUGUUUCUCUCUAAACGCCAUCGGGUUCUCUAGCGCUCAUUUGUUUUAUGUAUUAUGUAUGUAUGUAUGGGACAGGAUCUCACUCCGUCACCCAGGCUGGAAUGACGGAGCGAAGUAGUGCAAACACAGCUCACUGCAGCUUUGACCUCCUGGGCUUAGGUGAUCUUCUCACUCAGACUCCUGCGUAGCUGCAACCACAGGGGUGUGCCACCACACCUGGCUAAUUUUUUAUUUUCCUUUUUGUAGAGACAGGGUCUUGCUAUGUUGCCCAGGCUGGUCUUGAACUCCUGGCCUAAAGCAACCCUCCCGCCUCAGUCUUGCAAAGUGCUGGGAUUCCAGGUGUGGGCCACCGCACUCGGCUGUUACACUUGUUCAUUUAUAGGAGCCAGCCCUCAGAAGACAAACACAACGCAAAACAUUUCCUUCAGGGAAGCCUGCGGCUGGCACCCUGACCGCUCUUCCCUCGUUUUACAUCCUCACUCUGGAGAUAGAUGGGCUCCCUCGGUUAGCUCCAUCAACAUGAGGAUGGAACCCUCUGCUAUUGAUGACUACAUUUAAUUUCUUUUUGAGAAGGUGUUAGAUGUUACAGUGCCUUCUAAUCUUUUGAUAAUUAAACCUUUGGCAAAACUUGAAUGUUUGGUUAGCAACCAAGCCUAUUUUUCUCUCCUUCGACCCAACCCCUAUUCUACUUGAUUUUGGUCGGUGAGGCCCAGGUUAUCUUUGUUGAUCCAUGAGCCCAGUUUUGGUGCUGGGUUCUCACAUCCAACUGUUCAUAGGUUCCGUAUGAUUCCAGACUGACGCUGAACAUCUGUGCCUGCCCUGCUUCCUGUUGUUGCUUCUGUUAUUUCUGUCAUUGUGAAGACGGAUCCAGACACAGAAGAACAAAGACCCAGUCAAAGAUCUUUUCCAGAUUAUGUGGUUUUGGCUUGUGCUCUGCAGUCUACUCUGGGCUCAUGCUUGCUGCGAGCACGUCCGUGAACAUCAGCUGUGGGCCUCGUGCAGGGACGCUCAGGCUGCUCCCAGCAGGACCACAGUUUUGGCCUCUGAAACACAGCUGAAGAAAGGCAGAGUGCUUUCUGUGAUUUUUUAAUCAAUGUUUUCCAUUUUUGCAUUCCUAGGCUGCCCGCCUCACUGGAAGAACUUCACAGACAAAUGCUACUAUUUUUCGGUUGAGAAAGAAAUUUUUGAGGAUGCAAAGCUUUUCUGUGAAGACAAGUCUUCACAUCUUGUUUUCAUAAACACUAGAGAGGAACAGCAAUGGAUAAAAAAACAGAUGGUAGGGAGAGAGAGCCACUGGAUCGGCCUCACAGACUCAGAGCGUGAAAAUGAAUGGAAGUGGCUGGAUGGGACAUCUCCAGACUACAAAAAUUGGAAAGCUGGACAGCCGGAUAACUGGGGUCAUGGCCACGGGCCAGGAGAAGACUGUGCUGGGUUGAUUUAUGCUGGGCAGUGGAACGAUUUCCAAUGUGAAGACGUCAAUAACUUCAUUUGUGAAAAAGACAGGGAGACAGUACUGUCAUCUGCAUUAUAAUGGACUGUGAUGGGAUCACAUGAGCAAAUUUUCAGCUCUCAAAGGAAAAGGACACUCCUUUCUUAUUGCAUCACCUUCUCAUCAGAUUGAAAAAAAAAAGCACUGAAAACCAAUUACUGAAAAAAAAUUGACAGCUAAUGUUUUUUACCAUCCGUCAUUACCCAAAGACUUGGGAACUAAAAUGUUCCCCAGGGUGAUAUGCUGAGUUUCAUUGCACACAUGGACUGAAUCACAUAGAUUCUCCUCCGUCAGUAACCGUGCGAUUAUACAAAUUAUGUCUUCCAAAGUAUGGAACACUCCAGUCAGAAAAAGGUUAUCAUUGGUCGUUGAGUUAUAGGAAGAACUUAAGCAUAUACUGUGUAAACAGUGCCAUACAUUUCUAAAAUCCCAAGUGUAGGAAAAAUAUGCAGACAUACAGAUAUAUAGGCCAGCUCUUAGUAAUAAUAUGAAAUAUACUUAAAGAGCUUUUAAAACUUUGUAUUUUUGUACAAAAUAUUUGUCUUUUACAAUUUUUUUCCUUUUUUUUUUUUGUCAUUUUACCGACAUAAUACAUGGAGCCAAAGAAAACAAUAAUGGUACUAAUAAAAACUCCUAGGGUUUCCUGUCAGAUUUAAUUCUACCCAGUGGCAAAGAAUUUUUUCAAUUGUGGUUUUAAAAAACUAAUUAAAUAUACAUGUAUAUA